CAGAGGGUUACAGAAAAGCAGACACUUACAGAGCACUUACCCUCGGCGUAACACGGCUAACUCAGUGGUCAGACUCUUCACACGUAUUCGUAGAGCUCGCUCUGAGGCCCUCAGUUCCUCCAACUAGGAAGCAGCAGCAGUAACAGCAUACAAAGCACAAGGCUGUGGGAAGUGCAAGUGGGAACCUCAAGGUCCACAUCCUUGUUUCAUUUGGCCAGUCUGCUCCUCUAGACUGUGCACGGCUUCUCUGAGCCCCCGAGUCCCUGAAGUGGAGCCAGUCCCGACUGACCGCAGUCGCUCCAGAGCCUCGGCCAGCGCAUCCUUCUCCUCCCUAACCACAACCAGCCUGAUAUCACUUUCUAGAUUGCUGAAUUACAAAAACAGAACUGACUCUGCACGCAGUCUGCGAGUCUCUUGGUCUGACACUGCAUGGUCUCCUCGCAUCCUCAUGGCAUUUAGUCCAGCCCUUAGAGCCCUGAUCUCUCUCAGGAGAGUUGCAG